ensembl:snRNA U2 U2 spliceosomal RNA
AUCGUUUCUCGGCCUUUUGGCCAAGAUCAAGUGUAGUAUCUGUUCUUAUCAGCUGACAGAGGGAGAAACUGAAGAAUUCAGCAAUUAAAUAAUUUGCCCAAUUAUUUACCCAAU